rnacentral:rRNA from 1 species
UUCGGAAUGAGUACAGUGGCGCACGGGUGAGUAACGCGUAGGUAACAUGCCUUUUAGUGGGGGAUAACACCGGGAAACCAGUGCUAAUACCGCAUAAGCAAGAAAUUGGAAAGGUGGCUUUGGCUAUCGCUGAAAGAUUGGCCUGCGUAGCAUUAGCUAGUUGGUAGGGUAAUGGCCUACCAAGGCUACGAUGCUUAACUGGUCUGAGAGGAUGAUCAGUCACACUGGAACUGAGACACGGUCCAGACUCC